rnacentral:rRNA from 1 species
UACGUAGGGACCGAGCGUUGUCCGGAAUCAUUGGGCGUAAAGAGCGUGUAGGCGGCCACUUAAGUCCUGCGUGAAAUCUUGCGGCUCAACCGCAAGCGGUCGUGGGAAACUGGGUGGCUAGAGUGCGGGAGAGGAGAGUGGAAUUCCUGGUGUAGCGGUGGAAUGCGCAGAUAUCAGGAAGAACACCAGUGGCGAAGGCGGCUCUCUGGAACGCAACUGACGCUGAGACGCGAAAGCGUGGGGAGCAAACAGG